CCUACGAGAGGCAGCAGUGAGGAAUAUUGGUCAAUGGACGCAAGUCUGAACCAGCCAUGCCGCGUGCAGGAAGACGGCCCUAUGAGUUGUAAACUGCUUUUGUACGAGGGUAAACGCAGAUACGCGUACCUGUCUGAAAGUAUCGUACGAAUAAGGAUCGGCUAACUCCGUGCCAGCAGCCGCGGUAAUACGGAGGAUUCAAGCGUUAUCCGGCUUUAUUGGGUUGAAUGGGUGCGUAGGCGGUCGGAUAAGUUAGAGGUGAAAGCCCUAGGCUCAACUUCGGAAUUGCCUCUGAUACUGGUCGGCUAGAGUGUAGUAGCGGGAGGCGGAAUGUGUGGUGUAGCGGUGAAAUGCGUAGAGAUCAUGCAGAACACCGAUUGCGAAGGCAGCUUACCAAGCUACAUCUGACGUUGAGGCACGAAAGCGUGGGGAGCAAACAGGAUUAGAUACCCGGGUAGUC
rnacentral:rRNA from 1 species